UACGAAGGGGGCUAGCGUUGCUCGGAAUCACUGGGCGUAAAGGGCGCGUAGGCGGCCAUUCAAGUCAGAGGUGAAAGCCCAGGGCUUAACCCUGGAAUUGCCUUUGAUACUGUUUGGCUUGAGACCGGAAGAGGUAAGUGGAACUGCGAGUGUAGAGGUGAAAUUCGUAGAUAUUCGCAAGAACACCGGUGGCGAAGGCGGGUCUCUGGGCCGAUACUGACGCUGAGGAGCGAAAGCGUGGGGAGCGAACAGG
rnacentral:rRNA from 1 species